rnacentral:sRNA from 1 species
AUGGAAGCCACCAAGAAGGUGGGGGGCCCUGAUCCAUCGGGUCCCCAGGACCACCCCUCAGCCGGCAGCCAGCAGCUGGGGAGUGGCCUCAGAGGGUCUCAGGGACCACGGAUAAGCUCAGAAUCCCUAUACUUCAAGCAGGGGUUGUCAUUGUCUACCAAGACCAUCACUGAUGGUGCCUGUGGCCCAGCCUCCCAGGCCUGCAUCCCUGGGUCCAUUUGCCAGCUACUCCAGGAUCCUGCUUGGGUUAGCUCCCAGUGCUGCUGUGAGCAGGCCUCCCAGGAUGCCCCGAGACUCUCCUCCACUAGUGUAUCUUCAAGUCCCAUUGUGGGAGCCCAACAACAUCUCAUCAUGGAGGAUGUGACCCUGACCUUACUAGAGUGCAUGCACAGUGACAGCACCAGUGACAUAGCCCAGUGUGGACCCUGCCGCCUUCGGUUUCAGGUGCAGAAUUUGGGGGAAGGCAAGCGUCCAGCUAAGGUCCUGGUAGGCUGGGGCAAAGGCCCCUGCAGCUCCGACCAGAUAGCCUCCUUGGGCAGCAGGAAGAGUCGGUGGCUGCCCUUCCUCCUCUCAGGAGAGAAUGGUGCUCCCGAAGCCCAAGGUGCUCUUCUGGCUCCAGCUCAGGAUCUAGCCCAAGAUCAGGACCAGGGUAAGUGUCCAGCUCAGGCUGCUGCCCUAGUUACACAUUCUUUUUUUAAAUUUCUUUCUUUCUUUUUUUGAGAUGGAGUUUUGCUCUUGUUGCCCAGGCUGGAGUACAAUGGCGCGAUCUCAGCUCACUGCAACCUCCGCCUCCUGGGUUCAAGCGAUUCUCCUGCCUCAGCCUCCCAAGUAGCUGGGAUUACACGUGCCUGCUAUCACAUCCAACUAAGUUUUGUAUUUUUAGUAGAGACUGGGUUUCUCCAUGUUGGUCAGGCUGGUCUCAAAUUCCCAACCUCAGGUGAUCCACCUGCUUUGGCCUCCCGAAGUGUUGGGAUUAUAGGUGUGAGCCACCGUGCCCGGACUUACACCUUCUUUUCUGUCACUGACUCCUCCAAUUCCAGCUUGGGCUACGACUCCAGCUCUGGAUGUUACCCCAACCCCCACUGCAGUUGAAACUGACAUCCAUACCAUUGAUCACCUGACUGACACCACUGCAGUCACCAAGGGCCCAUCUGAAGACCUCCUUCUCAGGAAGUGUGGCAAUCAGUGGUCAACUGUCUUGGAGUCUUCCAAAAUAGUCGCAUCUUGCCAGGACAAAGUGAAUCUCCACUCUAAAGAGGAGCCUCCCAUCCCAAAGCCUACUCUAGAAGAGCGCCCAGACCAUGCCCAGGAGAAGGAGGUUACCAGAAGGAAGGUGCCAACUGAGGAGGCUGAGAACCCCAUGAAGAAACUUCUAGUCUCUACCUCCAGGCCAGGCAGCCCAAUGCCAGGCCCAGAGCCCCCAGUUAUCUCCAAGUCCCAGAGGAGUAGCCAGGAGAUCUGUAGCUCUCAGUCACAGAAGCAGCUCCCCAAUGUCUGUGACGAUACCAGCUCUAAUGUGCCGCUGUCUGCCUACCAAGUAACCUGCCACAAGCAGUCCCCAUUCCAGUCUCCGAAGGAAGCCAUGCAGAUCCCCCUCUCCAGUGCCCCAACCUGCCAGCUUCAGGAAGUUGUGGAAGACCGUGUGCUGGUGUUUGAUAUGGCCACAGGCAGCACCAGGAUGGGGCUGCUGUGCCAUGACCCUGUGGGCUCACGGGCAGUGCUUGUGGGCCUCAUGCCCAGCCACCCAUCCAUGUAUGUCCCUGAAAAUAUGCUGUCCACCCAGCUGUUGGCCAAACCCAUCCUGUCUCCUGACAGCAAUCACUCCAUCUUUUGGUCUAUCACACCCAUGCUGUCCAGCCCAGUGCCCUGCAGCCUCUCAUCUGGCAGCUACUGAGAGGUAGCCCUGAUUCCCAAGGAGGCCAGGCUCAACCUGGAGUCAUGGGACUCCCCUGGUACUGAGACACCCAUCAGGGUUGGGAUGCUGACUGGGCCUGUUCCACUGGGGAUGCCCCUUCAAUUUGAUGAGAGGAUACUGACCCAUGUCCCUAAUACUAGCUGGUCCAAGCCUGAUGGUGAAAAAAAUGAACCUAGUCAUACCAUCUGGAUGCUAGACCCUUCCAUGGCACCCUCUAGGAUGCCAGAUGCCUCCAUAGUCCAGACCAAGAAACUGCAGUGGAUGAACUCAGAGCCUGCUGCACCAGCCGAUACCCAGGAAGUGCCCAGAUCCCUCCUCCAGGAAGACAUAGGCAGCCACGAAGAGGUCAUUCCUGCUCACCCUGAUAACCCUCAGGCCAAAGAUGCUGGACAGACUCUCCUCACUGGGCAGAUCCUCCUUGCUGGACAGCCACCCCUACCUGAGCACCCCCUUACUGAUCAACCCCCUCUCACUGGGCAGACACCCCUUGCUAGGAAUCCCUCUUUAUCUAAAGAACCCCCCAUCACCAAAGAGCCCACUCUUUCAAGAUGGUCCCCCAACCCUGGAGAACCUGGCCAGGUCUCCACCCAGGAAGAUGAGCCCUUAGGCCUGCCUACUCAUGUAGGGGUAUUUCAGGUGCCCCUGACCCCUGAGGAGACCUGUAUCUAUAUGAGUAGAGACAAGGUUGGCAUCAGUAAUACUCAGCACUCCAUCACGCAUCAGCAGCAACCUGGCAACUCCCCUAGGACCCAGGAGGAGCAGCUUCCCUUGAUCACAUUUACCACACCUGGCACUGGACGCAAGGUCUUGCCCAUGGCCAUGGUGGCCACUGAGCCCCAGAGUGCCCCAUUCAAGCUGACAGCUGAGGAUCUUACACACUUAUCAGUAGUUGCACACCUUGAACUGCCCCACGGGGCCUGCUAUGAACUGGUGUCCACCAUGGAUGCUCUGCCAGUUCGGUCGCCAGUGCUCUGCUGCCACUCACUGGGACCCUUCCAGGACAUGGCGGCCGUGGUGAUUGAUACAGGCACAGGAUUCACCAAAUGUGGACUGGCUGGAGAGGACCAUGUCCUCAGUGUCAUACCCUCACGAGUUCAGCUGCUGCAGCACCCAGCCCAGGGCCAGCCACGAUAUGCAGUGCCUGAAAACCAAGUGGGAUCCUAUUCAGUGCUGAACCGUGGUGUGGUCUAUGACUGGGAUGCACUAGAGGUGCUAUGGCAGCACCUGUUCUAUUGCAGGCUGGGUGUGCAGCCCGAGAAGCUGUCCGUGCUCGUAGCCGACUCGCCUAUCUCACCACUCACCAACCGAGAAAAGGUGGCUGAAAUACUCUUUGAGCAUUUCCAUGUCCCAGCCAUGCAGACAGUGCAUCAGGCCCUGCUGGCGCUCUAUGCUUAUGGACGUACCACUGGACUGGUGCUGGGCAGUGGCCAUGGCACUUCCUAUGUGGCACCCAUCCUCACUGGGGAUCUGGCCCCACUUGACACCUACCGGCUGGAUGUGGCUGGUGCUGACCUUACUGACUACUUGGCCCAGCUGCUGCAGAGAAGUGGCCACUCACUGCCCCAGGCAGGACUGAUCAACCAGAUGAAAGAGGCCUGCUGCUACGUGGCCAUGGAUGUGGCAGCUGAGAGGGCCCACACCCAGGCGCAGGCCGAGGUGGACUUUGUGCUUCCAGACAAGCAGGUUAUCACUCUGGGGCCUGAGCGCUUCUGCUGCCCUGAGGCCCUCUUCCAACCCAAUCUGAUAGGUCUCAACCAGCUGGGCCUUCCACAGCUGGCCCUCCUAAGCAUCAGCCGGUUGGAGGCCAAGCAGCAGGAGCAGCUACUGGCCAAUGUGGUACUGGACGGUGGCAGCACCCUCAUGAGUGGCUUCCCUGAGCGCCUGAGACAGGAGCUGGGCCCUGGUGCCACUGUGCUGGGGUCUCCCCACCGUGCAGUUGCUGCCUGGCUUGGGGGCUCCAUCAUGGCAUCCCGGAGCUCUUUCCAGAGCCUGUGGCUCAGCUGCCAGGAAUAUGAGGAAGAGGGCCCAUGGGCUAUCUAUAAGUACCAGCUG